CCUCAAUAUUGACGUUUCUCUCCGUUGUUAUACUCAUAAGGUGUAUUUUUAAGCAAAAUAUUUUUCAAUUGUGAAGAAGAAAAAAAAACAUUGGUUCCUCAUUUGAUUCGGUCUACAAUAUGGAUAGUCAAAUUCGAAAUUUCAAAGACUUUCUGCAACUCUACAACAAAUUGACAGAGAAAUGCUUUUUACACUGUACCGAUAACUUUUUCACAAGAGAACUGUCGGCGGAGGAGUCGAAUUGCCUGGACAAGUGUGUGCUGAAAUUUAGCAAUGUAAAUCAACGGGUGAUGAAUGCAUAUGUUCACGAUCAGGCCAUAAUUAAUGAACGUCGAAUGAAAGAAAUGGAAGAACAAAUGAAGGCCAAUGAAGCAGCUGCACUGGCUGCAUCCGCUACUGCUACUGCUGUCGAUUCCAGUAUUUCAACGCCAAUUGAAACGAACAUUAACACAAGUACAACAGCCGUGAGCCCAACAGAGGUUCCAAAUCAGGCGCAGUUAUGAUUGCUUUUAUUAGGAUUUAUUGAUUUAUAAAUGCAGUAACACAUGUGUAAAACAUUAUUCGGAUUCUAUGGACCAGUGUAUAUAUGCAUCAAAGGUCACUGUUACACCCUUGCAAUGAAGAACGGGUAUCAACAACGAAUUUCAAUUUAUGUGCAUUUAUAAGGAACUGCAAUGGGCUAUGUUGUUGCGAUGUCAAACAAAUAACAUUAAAUGAAACAAUAUGUAUUUUCAAAUAUCUCAAAUAAGAUCCUUCAUCAUUAUAGAUACACCACCCUGUAGAAG